UCUUCGAGAUAGGUAGUAGUUAAGGUGAUGGCUUAACUAGCCAAAAACUCUCGUAGUCGAAGCUGAAAGGUUGAUCGACCACAUUGGGUCUGAAAAAACCCCAAUGCAAGUUAGUACAGCAGUGAGGAAUCUUGGUCAAUGGCCUAACGGCUGAACUGGCAACUUGGAGAAGUGGCAAGUCUUAUUUUGAUUAUAUUACAAUAUAUAAUCUAUAAGAUUGUAUUAAAAUUGAAUAAAGCUUUGUUUAUAUAUUGAUAAUGACAGUAUAUAUAUCGUGUCUUGACUAAUUACGUGCCAGCAGUCGCGGUAAUACGUAAGAGACUAGUGUUAUUCAUCUUGAUUAGGUUUAAAGGGUACCUAGACGGUCAAUAUAUCUUCUAAAAUGUUAGUACUUGACUAGAGUUUGAUAUAAGAGGGCAGUACUUGAGGAGGAGAGAUGAAAUUCUAUUAUACCAAAGGGACUCGGUAAAGGCGAAGGCAGCCCUCUAUGUAAAAACUGACGUUGAAGGACGAAGGCACAGAGCACAAACAGGAUUAGAUACCC
rnacentral:rRNA from 1 species